rnacentral:rRNA from 1 species
UAGGGAAUCUUCCGCAAUGGGCGAAAGCCUGACGGAGCAACGCCGCGUGAGUGAUGAAGGUCUUCGGAUCGUAAAACCCUGUUAUUAGGGAAGAACAAAUGUGUAAGUAACUAUGCACGUCUUGACGGUACCUAAUCAGAAAGCCACGGCUAACUACGUGCCAGCAGCCGCGGUAAUACGUAGGUGGCAAGCGUUAUCCGGAAUUAUUGGGCGUAAAGCGCGCGUAGGCGGUUUUUUAAGUCUGAUGUGAAAGCCCACGGCUCAACCGUGGAGGGUCAUUGGAAACGGGAAAACUUGAGUGCAGAAGAGGAAAGUGGAAUUCCAUGUGUAGCGGUGAAAUGCGCAGAGAUAUGGAGGAACACCAGUGGCGAAGGCGACUUUCUGGUCUGUAACUGACGCUGAUGUGCGAAAGCGUGGGGAUCAAACAGG